ACCGUGACCUCCUGCGUGGCCUCGUCCCUGGCCUUAGUUUCCACCGGGCAGUGGGAGUCGGGACCGCCUGUCCUCAGGCCCCUCCGCAGCGACUGUGGCGGCCGCAGGUUGGCGCCUUGUGUGGGCCGGGAACAGAGGCGGGGGGCGCUGUACCCUCCCGGUGGAGUCGGGAGGGAGGGAGGCAGGGAAGGGUACCGGGGGCUGCAUCUGUACUGGGCCCUUGUCCCCAGGCAGUCUAGCAGGAAGGGAGAGGGAGCUUGCCCCGAAGACCCUCCUGGACCAGCCCCAGGCUCCUGUGCUGGUGAGGCCGAGGGAGAGGGAUGUGGGCAUAGGACACGUAACAGGAUUUCCAUUUUAGAGGCAGCCGGACCUGUCUUCAGGUCCCUUCCUUGGUGAGAGACAGGGGUACGCCAGAGGAAGCUGGGCGCUCGGCCUCCGUGCAGCCUCAUCUCCUGGAAUCUGAGUAUUGGAAACUGGGCUUACCUCGGACACCUCAGCACAGACUCCCAUGGGAAUCCAGGUCACAGCAAAGCAGCCCUGGGCCUCCAUUCUCCUUUAAGCAAGCAUGACAAUCCUCACCUCACUGGGUUUUUAUUAAAACUAGCAAUGACCUUAGAAAGCAAGACAUGACCUCAGCUCCACUUUUGAGGCUGCAGUCCAUUCAGAGAGGUUUCGCAGACUCGGUAGCGGCCAGAACAGACAGCCUGGGCCCCGCCGCAGGCUGAGUCAGAAUCUUUGGGAGUAGUGACCAAGUUCUGCUUUUGGAAAAACCUCUACAGGCGGUUCUGAGAAGUCCAAGGGUUGCUGGGAGAGGUUGGUUGCACGCCAGGGCCUGUACUGACCACC
rnacentral:sRNA from 1 species